rnacentral:rRNA from 1 species
CCUACGGGGAGCAGCAGUGGGGAAUAUUGCGCAAUGGGCGAAAGCCUGACGCAGCGACGCCGCGUGAGGGAUGAAGGUCUUCGGAUCGUAAACCUCUGUCAGCAGGGAAGAACGGUCACUGUGCUAAUCAGCAGUGAAUUGACGGUACCUGCAAAGGAAGCACCGGCUAACUCCGUGCCAGCAGCCGCGGUAAUACGGAGGGUGCGAGCGUUAAUCGGAAUUACUGGGCGUAAAGCGCUCGUAGGCGGUAUGUCAAGUCAAGGGUGAAAUCCCCGGGCUCAACGUGGGAACUGCCUUUGAAACUGGCAAACUGGAGUGUGUGAGAGGAUAGUGGAAUUCCAGGUGUAGGAGUGAAAUGCGUAGAUAUCUGGAGGAACAUCAGUGGCGAAGGCGACUAUCUGGCACAUAACUGACGCUGAGGAGCGAAAGCGUGGGUAGCAAACAGGAUUAGAUACCCGGGUAGUC